AACUCACUGUGUAGCCCAGGCUGGUCUCAAACUCACAGUGAUCCUCCUGCCUCAGCCUGCCGAGUGCUGGGAUUACAGGCGUGAGCCACCACACCCGGCAAUUUUCUUCAGUUUCAAAGAGUCUUUUCAAAGGAUUCCUUCAAGCCCUUCGAUGGGUCACUAACCCACCACUGGCAAUCCACUGCUGGAGAGUCACCUUCUGCCAAGAGACCUUCUGGGUUCUGUAAAAAGGAGAAGCCGACUCCGGGCCCCACGCACCCCUCCUCCGCGUGGUUAUCCCUCCCGCCACUAGAUGGCAACCUCGCCCAGAGUCAGUUCCUGUGACCCGACAGGCCCAGGGCCCAGGUGAGAGCAAAUGGAGCAAAGCAG
rnacentral:lncRNA from 1 species